GAUGAACGCUGGCGGCGUGCCUAAUACAUGCAAGUCGAGCGAAGCGGGGACGGGUGAGUAACACGGGGAUAACCUCCUAUAAGACUGCGAUAACUUCGGGAAACAGGAGCUAAACCGGCUACUCAUAGAUGGCUCCGCGCUGCAUUAGCUAGUUGGUACGGGAACGGCUUACCAAGGCAACGAUGCAUAGCCGACCUGAGAGGGGGAUCGGCCACACUGGAACUGAGACACGGUCCAGACUCCUACGGGAGGCAGCAGUAGGGAAGCUUCCGCAAUGGGCGAAAGCCUGACGGAGCAACGCCGCGUGAGUGAUGAAGGUCUGCGGAUCGUAAAACUCUGUUAUUAGGGAAGCGGUAAUCAACCAGAAAGGCACGGCUAACUACGUGCCAGCAGCCGCGGUAAUUC
rnacentral:rRNA from 1 species